GAUGAACGCUGGCGGCGUGCCUAAUACAUGCAAGUCGAGCGAACGGACGAGAAGCUUGCUUCUCUGAUGUUAGCGGCGGACGGGUGAGUAACACGUGGAUAACCUACCUAUAAGACUGGGAUAACUUCGGGAAACCGGAGCUAAUACCGGAUAAUAUUUUGAACCGCAUGGUUAAAAAGUGAAAGACGGUCUUGCUGUCACUUAUAGAUGGAUCCGCGCUGCAUUAGCUAGUUGGUAAGGUAACGGCUUACCAAGGCAACGAUGCAUAGCCGACCUGAGAGGGUGAUCAGCCACACUGGAACUGAGACACGGUCCAGACUCCUACGGGAGGCAGCAGUAGGGAAUCUUCCGCAAUGGGCGAAAGCCUGACGGAGCAACGCCGCGUGAGUGAUGAAGGUCUUCGGAUCGUAAAACUCUGUUAUUAGGGAAGAACAUAUGUGUAAGUAACUGUGCACAUCUUGACGGUACCUAAUCAGAAAGCCACGGCUAAUUACGUG
rnacentral:rRNA from 1 species